rnacentral:piRNA from 1 species
UAGUAAAAUGGUACAAGUGUCUCUUAGACUU